AUUAAUACGCCCCUAACCACCCCCUGAGUAGUACCAGCGAUCUUUAAACUCAAAGAAUUUGGCGGCACUCCCCCCUAUUAGAGGAGCCUGCCCCGUAAUCGACGACCCACGCUCCCACGCACCCCCAUUAACAGUUUGUAUACCGCCGUGUAGGGCGUGUUUCAAAACACGCCCCAAAUGAACUUUUUAAAAACCUCAGGUCAAGGUGCAGCUUAUGUGGGGGAGGAGGUGGGCUACACUAACCUUAAUUAUACGGAGUACGCGUCCAAAACUAAUAUGAAGGUGGAUUUAACUGUAAGCCCUAUUUUCCUAGCGCUGAUUAGGUUC
rnacentral:rRNA from 1 species